rnacentral:rRNA from 1 species
AUGAUUAUCACCCAAUCAUUCUGCUCAAUUGCAGCCUCAAGCUCAUCACCAACUUGCUGGCUGAUCGCUUGCAAAAAGUCAUUCUGCGAAUUAUUCAUCACAACCAGUAUGGAUUCAUAG